rnacentral:rRNA from 1 species
UACGGAGGGUGCAAGCGUUAUCCGGAUUCACUGGGUUUAAAGGGUGCGUAGGUGGGCAAGUAAGUCAGUGGUGAAAUCUCCGGGCUUAACCCGGAAACUGCCAUUGAUACUAUUUGUCUUGAAUACUGUGGAGGUCAGCGGAAUAUGUCAUGUAGCGGUGAAAUGCUUAGAUAUGACAUAGAACACCAAUUGCGAAGGCAGCUGGCUACACAAAUAUUGACAUUGAGGCACGAAAGCGUGGGGAUCAAACAGG